rnacentral:rRNA from 1 species
AUUGAACGCUGGCGGCAUGCCUUACACAUGCAAGUCGAACGGCAGCACGGGAGCAAUCCUGGUGGCGAGUGGCGAACGGGUGAGUAAUACAUCGGAACGUGUCCUGGAGUGGGGGAUAGCCCGGCGAAAGCCGGAUUAAUACCGCAUACGCUCUGUGGAGGAAAGCGGGGGAUCUUCGGACCUCGCGCUCAAGGGGCGGCCGAUGGCAGAUUAGCUAGUUGGUGGGGUAAAGGCCUACCAAGGCGACGAUCUGUAGCUGGUCUGAGAGGACGACCAGCCACACUGGGACUGAGACACGGCCCAGACUCCUACGGGAGGCAGCAGUGGGGAAUUUUGGACAAUGGGGGCAACCCUGAUCCAGCAAUGCCGCGUGUGUGAAGAAGGCCUUCGGGUUGUAAAGCACUUUUGUCCGGAAAGAAAACCGCUUCUCUAAUACAGAGGUGGGAUGACGGUACCGGAAGAAUAAGCACCGGCUAACUACGUGCCAGCCGCCGCAGUAAAAC